ACGGGUGAGUAACACGUAGGUAAUCUACCUUCGGGUGGGGAAUAACCCAGGGAAACUUGGGCUAACACCGCAUAAUGCAGCGGCACCACAUGGUGACAGUUGUUAAAGCGGGGGAUUUUCGGACCUCGCGCCUGAAGAGGAGCCUGCGGCAGAUUAGCUAGUUGGUAGGGUAACGGCUUACCAAGGCGACGAUCUGUAGCCGGCCUGAGAGGGCGGUCGGCCACACUGACACUGACAUACGGGUCAGACUCCUACGGGAGGCAGCAGUCGGGGAUUUUGGGCAAUGGGCGAAAGCCUGACCCAGCAACGCCGCGUGAAGGAUGAAAUCCCUCGGGAUGUAAACUUCGCAAGAAUGGGAAGAAUUAGUAGGGGUUAAUACCCCCUAUGAUGACGGUACCAUUUGUAAGCUCCGGCUAACUCCGUGCCAGCAGCCGCGGUAAUACGGGGGGAGCAAGCGUUGUUCGGAUUUACUGGGCGUAAAGGGCGCGUAGGCGGUCAGCACAAGUCAGUUGUGAAAUCUCCGGGCUUAACUCGGAAAGGUCAACUGAUACUGUGCGACUAGAGUGCGGAAGGGGCAACUGGAA
rnacentral:rRNA from 1 species